CACUAAGAAGCUAAUACGGCCAUAGCGUUAGCCUUUUAAGCUAAAGAUAGGUGCCCCCCAACCACCCUUAGUGG
rnacentral:tRNA from 1 species